rnacentral:rRNA from 1 species
UACGUAGGGGGCAAGCGUUAUCCGGAUUCACUGGGCGUAAAGGGAGCGUAGACGGCCAUGCAAGCCUGGAGUGAAAGCCCGGGGCCCAACCCCGGGACUGCUCUGGGAACUGUGCGGCUAGAGUGCGGGAGGGGCAGGCGGAAUUCCUGGUGUAGCGGUGAAAUGCGUAGAUAUCAGGAGGAACACCGGCGGCGAAGGCGGCCUGCUGGACCGCGACUGACGUUGAGGCUCGAAAGCGUG